rnacentral:rRNA from 1 species
GACGAACGCUGGCGGCGUGCCUAAUACAUGCAAGUAGAACGCUGAAGCGAGGAGCUUGCUCUUCUUGGAUGAGUUGCGAACGGGUGAGUAACGCGUAGGUAACCUGCCUUGUAGCGGGGGAUAACUAUUGGAAACGAUAGCUAAUACCGCAUAACAAUGGAUAACACAUGUCAUUUAUUUGAAAGGGGCAAUUGCCCCACUACAAGAUGGACCUACGUUGUAUUAGCUAGUGGGUGGGGGAAUGGCCAACCAAGGGGACCAUACAUAGCCAGCCUGAGAGGUUGACCGGCACAACGGGAACGGAGACACGGCCCAGACUCCUCCGGGGGGAGGAAGAGGGAAACUUCGGACAAGGGGCGAAAGCCUGACGAAGAAAGCCGGGUGGGGUGAGGAGGGUCUCGGAGUGGAAAAGUCUGUUUUUUGGGAAGGAAGAGUGUGAGAGUGGAAAGUUCACGCUGUGACGGUAGCUAACCAGAAAGGGACGGCUAACUACGUG